GAGUGUUGUGUAGCUAGAGGUCUCCUUUGUGGGCUACAACAACUCAGAUCAAGGCUUCUGUGUUCUAUGUCAUCCUUCUGUAAGAAAGCCUGAAGAGUUUGCAUAGCUCUUUCUAAUGUGGCAAUGAUCUCCAGCAACCUCUUCUUGAAAAGUACCAUCUUUGGAAGGCUUACCCAUGUUGAAUUUAGCUUCAGCAGGAAACAGCCAUGAAAACAAAAAGAGCACCUUACUAUUUGAAUUUCCCUUUUUCUGAAGUUCUCUCUACCUUAUUUAAACAUCUACAGUAGGUAGAACUAACUAACAGAAGAACUAACACUUUCUCACUUGCCAAACAUCUCUUCAAGAAGAAUUGAACAUAGUAUUCAGUGAUUCACUGCAUCAUCAGUAAACUUUACACAGUUUGUUCUUCACCUUUUUUCCUCUGUUGUGCUAGAUGCUCAGUUUGAUAACCUUCUGCAUAAGUUGAGACUCAUUUCUUUUUCAAACUAUAAUAGUGAAUUUUGCAUUACGCUUGUUCCAACUGGAACAGAAUUUAUAUUUCUUAGGUUUGAUAUUUGUUUUGUGUUUUGCCCUGAUAGUGAAGCUGAUCUGAAGGCUUUCUGCACCUAGUUCAUGUGGUUAUUUGAUUCUUUAUGAUUAUCACAGUAUUGGGUAUCCAGUGCAACAAAAGAAAACACUUCAUAUAGAUAGUUAUGAUGAAAAUGUUAUGUUUUAAUGAAAUAUUUUAUUACAUAGUCCUAAAAUCUAUUAAAAAUAAGUAUAAAAUCCAAUGAAGCACAAAUACAUUCCUUAUAUAUGAAUGCUUUUCACUGAUUGGCAACUGCAUUUUGAUCUGUUCAUGCAAGAGUGUUUGCAGGUACCAUCUAAUUUAAGGAUUUGUUGUGCUGCCUGCAAUCUUGGAAAAUGUUAUGUAUGUACUCAUAGUAUGAGGAGUAUAUCCAUAAUGUACAUAGGUGCUUGUUACAUUUGCAUGUUAUGUGAGAAGUAGCUAUGCAGAAAACAUUAUAAAUAAUUCAGAACAAAUACAGACUUUGCAAGUACCUGUCUGGAUCAAGUGUACCACUGUAUAUAGAAAUAUCAGCUAGUGUUACCUUCUG
rnacentral:lncRNA from 1 species